rnacentral:rRNA from 1 species
CAGCGCCACGGUAAUACGUAGGGUGCGAGCGUUAAUCGGAAUUACUGGGCGUAAAGCGUGCGCAGGCGGUUUUGUAAGACAGGCGUGAAAUCCCCGGGCUCAACCUGGGAAUGGCGCUUGUGACUGCAAAGCUAGAGUGCGGCAGAGGGGGAUGGAAUUCCGCGUGUAGCAGUGAAAUGCGUAGAUAUGCGGAGGAACACCGAUGGCGAAGGCAAUCCCCUGGGCCUGCACUGACGCUCAUGCACGAAAGCGUGGGGAGCAAACAGGAUUAGAUACCCGAGUAGUCCCUGUCUCUUAUACA